rnacentral:rRNA from 1 species
UACGUAGGGGGCAAGCGUUGUCCGGAUUUAUUGGGCGUAAAGAGCGUGUAGGCGGCCAGACAGGUCAGCUGUGAAAACUCGAGGCUCAACCUCGAGACGUCGGUUGAAACCGUCUGGCUAGAGUCCGGAAGAGGAGAGUGGAAUUCCCGGUGUAGCGGUGAAAUGCGCAGAUAUCGGGAAGAACACCCGUGGCGAAGGCGGCUCUCUGGGACGGUACUGACGCUGAGGAACGAAAGCUAGGGGAGCAAACAGG